UGGGGAAUAUUGCACAAUGGGGGAAACCCUGAUGCAGCGACGCCGCGUGAGCGAAGAAGGCUUUCGAGUCGUAAAGCUCUGUCCUAUGAGAAGAUAAUGACGGUAUCAUAGGAGGAAGCCCUGGCUAAAUACGUGCCAGCAGCCGCGGUAAUACGUAUGGGGCGAGCGUUGUCCGGAAUUAUUGGGCGUAAAGGGUACGUAGGCGGUUUUUUAAGUCAGGUGUCAAAGCGUGGAGCUUAACUCCAUUAAGCACUUGAAACUGCAUAUCUUGAGAAGAGUAGAGGUAAGUGGAAUUUUUAGUGUAGCGGUGAAAUGCGUAGAUAUUAAAAAGAAUACCGGUGGCGAAGGCGACUUACUGGGCUCAUUCUGACGCUGAGGAACGAAAGCGUGGGUAGCAAACAGG
rnacentral:rRNA from 1 species